AUGGCCGCCCGCCGCCGCCUCCUGCUACUCCUCCUCGCGCUCGCCCCGGCGCUCUCGCAGACCGUGCUCGGCGUCAGCGGCGGCGGACAGGCCAGGAAGACGUACAUCUUCCGCGUCGACCACCGGGCCAAGCCGUCCGUGUUCCCCACCCACGCGCACUGGUACUCCUCCGCGGCUUUCGCGUCGGCGGCGGCCAGCGCCGACGGCCCGCUCGAGCCGCUCCACGUCUACGACACCGUCUUCCACGGCUUCUCCGCGUCGCUGUCCGCGUCGCGCGCCGAGGAGCUGCGGCGCCACCCGGCCGUGCUCGCCGCGUUCGAGGACCGGGUCCGCCAGCUGCACACCACCCGCUCGCCGCAGUUCAUGGGGCUCCGCGCGCGCCUCGGUCUGUGGUCACUCGCCGACUACGGCUCCGACGUCAUCGUCGGGGUGCUGGACACCGGCGUGUGGCCUGAGCGCCGGAGUCUGUCGGACAGGAACCUCCCGCCCGUCCCCGCCCGGUGGCGGGGCGGCUGCGACGCGGGGCCCGCGUUCCUGGCGUCCUCCUGCAACAAGAAGCUCGUCGGCGCGCGGUUCUUCUCGCAGGGACACGCCGCGCACUACGGCGUCGAGGCGGCGGCGUCCAACGGGUCCGUGGAGUACAUGUCGCCGCGCGACGCCGACGGGCACGGGACGCACACGGCCACGACGGCCGCCGGGAGCGUGUCCUACGCGGCUAGCAUGGAGGGGUACGCUUCCGGGGUCGCCAAGGGCGUCGCGCCCAAGGCCAGGGUGGCCGCGUACAAGGUGUGCUGGAAGGGCGCCGGCUGCCUCGAUUCCGACAUACUCGCUGGCUUCGACCGCGCCGUCGCGGACGGCGUGGAUGUCAUCUCCGUCUCCAUAGGCGGCGGUAACGGCGCGGUGUCGCCGUUCUAUAUUGACCCAAUUGCCAUCGGCUCGUACGGCGCCGUUUCGCGGGGGGUGUUCGUGGCCACCUCCGCGGGAAACGAAGGGCCCGCGCCCAUGUCAGUGACCAACCUCGCCCCGUGGAUCGCCACCGUGGGCGCCGGCACCAUCGACCGCAACUUCCCCGCCGAGAUCGUGCUCGGGGACGGGAGGCGCAUGUCUGGAGUGUCUCUCUACUCCGGCAAGCCCCUGGCCAACAACACAAUGCUGUCUUUGUACUACCCCGGGAGGUCGGGUGGGCUGUCAGCUUCGCUGUGCAUGGAGAACUCCAUCGACCCGUCGCUUGUGGCCGGCAAGAUUGUCAUCUGCGACCGUGGCAGCAGCCCACGCGUGGCCAAGGGGAUGGUCGUCAAGGAAGCUGGUGGCGCGGCAAUGGUUCUAGCCAACGGGGAGGCCAACGGCGAAGGUCUAGUAGGGGACGCCCACGUCCUCCCUGCUUGCUCGGUGGGCGAGAACGAGGGCGACGCACUCAAGGCGUAUGCUGCCAACACCACCAACCCGACCGCAACAAUUGUGUUCCGGGGCACGGUCAUCGGCGUCAAGCCGGCUCCCCUGGUGGCCUCCUUCUCGGCGCGCGGGCCGAACGGACUCGUCCCGGAAAUCCUGAAGCCCGACUUCAUCGCGCCCGGCGUCAACAUCCUCGCGGCGUGGACGGGCGCCACCGGCCCAACCGGCCUGGAAGCCGACGCCCGGCGGACGGAGUUCAACAUCCUGUCCGGGACGUCCAUGGCAUGCCCGCACGCGAGCGGCGCCGCCGCGCUGCUCCGGUCCGCGCACCCCGAGUGGUCGCCGGCGGCUAUCCGCUCGGCGCUGAUGACCACGGCCAUCGUGACCGACAACCGCGGCGGCGCCGUGGCUGACGAGGCCGAGCCCGGGCGCGCCGCGACGCCGUUCGACUACGGCGCGGGGCACAUCGCGCUGGGCAAGGCCCUGGACCCGGGGCUGGUGUACGACAUCGGGGACGAGGACUACGUGGCGUUCAUGUGCAGCAUCGGGUACGCGGCGAACGCGAUCGAGGUGAUCACGCACAAGCCCGUGGCGUGCCCCGCCGCGACGGGCAGGAAGCCGUCGGGGUCCGACCUGAACUACCCGUCCAUCUCGGUGGUGCUCUACGGCGGCAACCAGUCGAAGACGGUGAUCCGCACGGCGACCAACGUCGGCGCCGAGGCGUCCGCGACGUACAAGGCGCGCGUGGAGAUGGCGAGCGGCGGCGUGUCCGUGGCGGUGAAGCCGGAGAAGCUCGUCUUCUCCCCGUCGGCGAAGAAGCAGAGCUUCGCGGUGACGGUGUCGGCGGCGUCCGCCCCCUCCACCGCGGCGCCGGUGCACGGGCACCUCGUCUGGUCGGACGGCCGCGGGCACGACGUCCGGAGCCCCAUCGUGGUGACGUGGCUGCAGCCCAUGUGA
rnacentral:rRNA from 1 species